CCGUACCUACGGGGGGCAGCAGUGGGGAAUAUUGCACAAUGGGGGAAACCCUGAUGCAGCAACGCCGCGUGAGUGAAGAAGGUUUUCGGAUUGUAAAGCUCUGUUAGCAGGGAAGAGGAAGGACGGUACCUGCGGAGGAAGCCCCGGCUAACUACGUGCCAGCAGCCGCGGUAAUACGUAGGGGGCAAGCGUUAUCCGGAUUUACUGGGUGUAAAGGGAGCGUAGACGGCUGUGCAAGUCUGAAGUGAAAGCCCAGGGCUCAACCCUGGGACUGCUUUGGAAACUGUGGAGCUAGAGUGCUGGAG
rnacentral:rRNA from 1 species